rnacentral:lncRNA from 1 species
UCGGGUCGUGUUCUGACAGCUAGCACUCCACUCUUGUUUGCUGCGUGCGUUCGUCGCUUGGCCCGCUUGCUGUUCUCGCAAAAGCGCGGGGCAGAGGAGAGAAAGAAGCCUCUCGUUCUCCGAGAGAGACGCAGAGGCCGCAGUCAGGGCCUGGAUAUACUCGGAGGCUCGGCUUCUCCUCUGGGUGCUCCUUGUUGCUUCCAGGGAAAGUUUAGUCUGGAUCUGAGGCCUCGUGGCGCUCUUCCUGGUUUUUCAAUUUUGGUGGAGAAAUAGAGUUUGUGGUGAAGUAAAUGGCACCGCUGGAAUCCAAACCCUAAUGAAGCAGAGUCUCUUCUUAACCACUGUCUAUACUAAAGGUAAUUUAAAACAGGGUGCAGACAACAGGAAAGCAACAACUCUGGUUUGGUCACCGUGGUGGUCUUGCCCGGCACAUGGUGGGAGUCCAGCCAGAGCUGAUGGGAGCACCACAGGCAUCUCCCCUGAUGCAGGGUAAAUUGCAGAAGCCAUGGUACCAGCCCGCAUCCAUGACCCCACAGAUAUUCCCCUUCUCCAAGUGGACUGACCCAGGCCUUUUACAAACACAGAAGGAUCUUGUGCAAGAUGAAUUCUAGUACUAGCUACUAAAAGAUCUCUUCACACAAAAGGCAAUAUUCCUGAAUUUGUAUUGGUCCAGGCAUUCGAGAAUCAAGAUGUUUUCCUGUUUCCAUGGAAGCAGAGUUCAUUUGGCUGGGAUGUUCUGAGCUUUUGCUUCCAGACCUUUGAUGCCGGGGCAUGUUGUCUUCAGCAGAGGCUCUGGCCAAGUCAGAUGCCCACGUGUCUCUGCUUGGUGAAGCCGAAUGCCUCGCCAUGACUCUGGAGAAGCUCUUUAAGUGUCUGAUGCAGUGGGAAGAGCUGAGCCACAGCUUGAUACCAGUGUUGGGCCCCAGAGUCCCCAUAUGCUGCCUCUCAAGGGUGGUAUUCAAAGUGGGUUGUUGUUCUUGUUGUUGUUUUGGUCACAUCCCAGGCGUAACUGCAGUACAACAUCACAGCCAGGAUGCUGACAUUGAUAAUCCUCCUAUCUCAUUCACAUUUCCCCGUUUUACUUGUAAUGUGUGUGUGUGUGUGUGUGUUUGUAUUUAGUUCUUUGAUGUUUUAUCACAUGUGCAGAUUAAUGUAUCUGCUACAGUCAAGAUAUAGAACACCUGAAUCCUUUGUGUUGCUCUUUGGUACCCACCUCCUCCCCAUCCCUCCACCCCAACACCUGGCAACCACUGAGCUAGUCUCCAUACUGCAAAUUUUGUGAUAUCAUUUGUUACAUAGAUGGAAUUGCCUAUUGCAUAGCUUUGGCGGAAUGGCUUUUCAUUUUCCCCCUCAAAACAUAUUUCUUUACAAUUACUACAAGCUGUUGCAUGUAUCAGUAGUUUUCUUUCUUUCUUUCUUUCUUGCUUGCUUCCUUCCUUCCUUCCUUUCUUUUUUUUUUUGGCUGAACCAGUAGUGGCAGGCAGAAGUUCUGGGACCAGGGAUCGAACCCAAGCCAUAGCAGUAACCAAAGCCACAGCAGUGACAAUGCUGUACCCUCAACUCUCUGAGCCAGCAGGACUCUCCUCAAAGUGUUUUUUUUUUUUUUUCCUUUCUUUUUAGGGCCACACCCACAGCAUAUGGAAGUUCCUGGGCUAGGGGUCAAAUUGGAGCUGCAGCUGCUGGGUUACACCACAGCCACGGCAAUGUGGGAUCCAAGCUGUGUCUGCAACCUGCACCAUGACUCACAACAACACCCAGAUCCUUAACGCACUAAAUAAGUGCAGGGAUCGAACCCUUAUCCUCAUGGAUACUAGUUGGGUUCAUAAUCACUGAGCCACAAUGGGAAGCCCCCAAAGUGGGGUUUUGGAAGAUAGUAGGAUUAUUCUAGGCUCAGAUUAAAGUCAGGUGGGUAAGCAUCAUUGCACAGGGAGGAAAAAGUGUGAGCCAGAUGGUGAAGGCAGGAAAGUUAGAGCCCUCUUUGGGAAGGAGAUGGCGAUAUUGUAGGAACCAGCUUGGGGUUUGUUUGGGAGGGACAGCAGCAGGCUCUCUCCCUGCCUCGUGUCACUUCCCUAUGUCCUUCCUGUGAUUUGGGGGCCUCUGUGGUGCAUGGCCACCUGUAUGCAGGCAGCACCAGCAUCUUGUCCCUCUUGCUCUGUCUCAGGGCUCUCUCCUGGGUGCAGGAGAGCACUCAGCCUGCUUGCAGGAGCAUCUCAGCCCGCAGGCAGCCCCCAGCCCAGGGGAGGAGGGUUGGUGGACCACACCAUGACAUGUGGUCUACACACGUCCUUUGAGGGGUGAGCCCGGUGCCCACAGUGGUAACCAGUGCGAUAACGCUGUUUAACCCUUUCGAUACCCUCACACUUGCCUGGGCUCAUCUUGCAAAGAAGUCACCUGCAUGUGAUUUAUGAGCAUGGAGGAAACUACUGAAGGGUACGCGGUUGUUGGGAUGAUUGCUUGGUGCAGCGUAGGGAAGGUAAGCAGGAGAGGGAAUGGGCAUAAAAUAUACUCAAACCAAACAAAACUACCCAUUAGACACAGCAUGCUGAGUUUUUUGUUUGUUUGUUUUUGUUUUUGCCUUUUUCUUUUUGCCUUUUAGGGCUGCACUUGGAGCAUAUGGAUGUUCCCAGACUAGGAGUUGAACCAGAGCUGUAGCUGUUGGCCUACGCUGCAGCCACAGCAAUGCCAGAUCCGAGCUGAGUCUGUGACCCACACCACAGCUCAUGGCAAUGCUGGAUCUCCAAUCCAGUGAGCGAAGCCAGGGAUCGAACCUGCAUCCCCAUGGAUACUAGUUGAAUUCAUUUCUGCUGGACCUCGACGGGAACUCCCACAUGCUGGGUUCUUUGAUAGACAAUCUGUAAGGAAAAGAGAAAGGUAGAGAGGAAACCUAUGCCGAGAAGAAAUGAAGACUUCUCAAAAAACUUUUUAAUUAAAAAAAUUAUUGAUUUAUUUAUUUUUGGCCAUGCCUGAGGCACGUGGAAGGUCCUGGGCCAGGGAUUGAACCUUGCACCACAGCAGUGACAACAUCAGAUUCUUAACUGCUAGGCCACCAGGGAACUCUCAAAAUUUUUUUUAAAUGGACCAGACCAAGCUAUAGUGUUUAGGAUUUCAUAGUUGAGUGAUAAGACCAUAAAGAAACACAAAGAAGGGAGUAUCACUGAAGUCACAAUAGUGAUUACUUUUUUUAAAGGGAGACAGGUAGUGGCUAUCAUGGGACAUUUGAUGGAAAUUUCUAAGCUGCAAAGUUCUAUUUUUUUGAUCUGGGUGGUAGUUAUAAUAAUUCAUUGAAGAGUACAUUUAUUUUGAAUAGUUUUUCUGCAUUUGUAUUCUAUUUUACUUUGCAAAAGAAAG